GCUUAAAAUCCAAAGGACUUGACGGUGCCCCAUCCCCCUAGAGGAGCCUGUUCUAUAAUCGAUAACCCCCGCUACACCUCACCACUUUUUGCAUCAAGCAGCCUGUAUACUUCCGUCGUAAGCUAGCCAUAUGAGUGUAUCAUAGCAAGCUAAAUUGCCUAUUUUCGUCAACACGUCAGGUCAAGGUGCAGCUUAUAAAAUGGUAAGAAAUGGGCUACAAUUUCUAACUUAGAACAAACGAACAAUCAUCUGAAACUAUGGUCACGAAGGUGGAUUUAGUAGUAAAAGGGGAAAAUAGUGCCCCCUUUAAUAGCGGCCAUGGGACGCGUACAAACCGCCCGUCACCCUCUUCAAUAGCGUACUCUUAGUCUAUAACACACCCCAGCUCUUUAGAGGAGGCAAGUCGUAACACGGUAAGCGUACUGGAAAGUGCUCUUGGAUAUGCAAAAUGUAGCUUAGUAAAGCCUCCCGCUUACACCGGGAAGACAUCCGUUAAAAUCAGAUCAUUUUGAGCUAUAAAUCUA
rnacentral:rRNA from 1 species